GCAAGCGAAGAACCAUUAACUAUACAAAAAACCCACUGAAGAACCAUGAGGCUAAUACUCCUGCUACGACCAAAUCAUCCACGCUUGUUGGAAUUAUUACCAAAAAAAAACACGUCACUCAUCACCCUUGAUACAUUUUGUCACCGAUUUCCUGGGCGACUCAUCACCUGAGCCCCUCCCCCUUAAGAAAAGAGUUCCUACAUAUAAUAGUCUGGAACAUGACUCAGCCGCAUGACAUACUAGUCAUGAUAAGUGUUGUCAUUGUUCUUCAUUGAGACAUUUAUGUAAUGACAACCAAAUGAAUUACUGAGCACAGGAACCUUUUCUGGAACCUUUGACGUGAGCUGAUUUUAGGAUCUACCAGACCCAUUUCCACCACAGGAACCCUUUCAGGAACCAAGUGUUUUUUCCCUUCAGAAACUCCAGAACUAAAAACGUAUUCGGUCCCACUAGGCACCCUUCCUUUCUACGUUUUCUAAAACCGCUUGCCUGCUCAAGAACUCACAAACAGAAUACUUUAGGUUCUACAAGGCGCAUUUCCACCACAAGGUGCGUUUUUGGGAUGAUUUUUUCAGGAACCAAAAAACAGAAAUCAGGUAUUAUUUUAAGUACCGAUGGCUAUUUCCGGAACGCAGGACCAGAAAAUAUGCAGGCCGAGAUUCGUUUUCUCUAGGGACAUGUCUAGCUCACGAGCAAUGCUUGAGGAACUCAAGAACAACUGGGCUCAUCUGAGUUUCUACAAGGAGCGUCUUCACCACAGAAAAACGCUGAGGAUAUUUUCAAAAACUCAGGACGCUCGGAAAUCCCAUUAAAGGUUUUAGUCAUGUCAUCCAGGAAUUCAUCCAGGAACUGUGAAGUACCUGUUCAAGAAGGUUCCAGAACUUUUUCUCUCUCUUAUUUUUUAAGAACUAAAAAAGUUCCAGAAUCUUGGUGGACAUGCACAAAAUGUCACGUGACUUCGCCAUCGCAGGAUCCGACUUGUCGUACGCGUUCUAGCAAACUGUCAGGUUUUUUUUUAAAGGUCUUGGCCGCAAAGACGGAAAAACCUGUUAAACAUGUUAACACACUAACAAACCGCCUUGUAUAAAUUUUUAUUGCGAAUUGAAUUUUCCCCGUCCGGCUCCAUGCUGUAUCGCGUGAUAUGUGGUGUAGAAAGGAAGCAUGGUGCGUUACUCAGCGAGGAUCUGGCCUGGUUUACGCAACAUGUGUUUAGCAGAUCGCCGCUGCAGUGGGAGAUGAGAUGACGACAGUGGUUCUGCUAUGCGGGUUCAGGAAAAGGGUGUGUGUGUGUGUGUGUGUGUGUGUGUGUGUGUGGGAUGCGCUGAUGACAAACAGAGAUACGAGUGUCUGGCUGGUCAACCAUGUGAGAUAUGAGCUGAGGGUCAGUCAUCGGGGUUGCGCAACUGAAUUCUCAAAGAAGGUUUUCCAGUCAUGAGCAGAAGGUUUGCAGAAGACCAGAAGAGCUGACGGCAGGUCAAGGAGGCAUGAGGUGGACCUCAUAUUCCUCAGCUCUCUACCUUCGGAUGUGCAUAUUCCCAGCAUUUAUCCUGGAUUUCUUUACUGGAUGGCUAUUUCCAUGUUCUUAACUGCAUUCGUCUUAACACUAAAGAGCGCCGCCAUGUUGAAAUGACGUCACGCAAUGGCAGCUCGGAGCCGUCUUUGGAGCGCUCGGAAACUCCGAGUGGGAAUUACGAGUUGGAGAAACCGUUCAGACGGCUCUUUUCCACAGCAGCUUCCCAGUUCCCACU